rnacentral:rRNA from 1 species
UACGUAGGGGGCAAGCGUUGUCCGGAAUUAUUGGGCGUAAAGAGCUCGUAGGCGGCUUGUCGCGUCGAUUGUGAAAGCCCGGGGCUUAACUCCGGGUCUGCAGUCGAUACGGGCAGGCUAGAGUGUGGUAGGGGAGAUCGGAAUUCCUGGUGUAGCGGUGAAAUGCGCAGAUAUCAGGAGGAACACCGGUGGCGAAGGCGGAUCUCUGGGCCAUUACUGACGCUGAGGAGCGAAAGCGUGGGGAGCGAACAGG